CAGUCCAGCUUUCAAUUUCUGCUCCUGCCAAAACUGUGGCAGAGAGCUUGGGGCUGGACGUAAAUAAAACACUCUUAUCUUAGGAGGGCUUCUUCAAGUGUUGAACUGCCCUCAAAGGCGCAAGAGAACAUC